rnacentral:tRNA from 1 species
GGGCAAUUAGCUCAGCGGGAGAGCGCCUCCCUCACACGGAGGAGGUCACUGGUUCGAAACCAGUAUUGCCCACCA